AUUGAACGCUGGCGGCAGGCCUCACACAUGCAAGUCGAACGAGUGGCGGACGGGUGAGUAAUGUCUGGGAAACUGCCUGAUGGAUGGGGAUAACUACUGGACACGGUAGCUAAUACCGCAUACCAUCAGAUGUGCCCAGAUGGGAUUAGAUUGUUGGUGGGGUAACGGCUCACCAAGGCGACGAUCCCUAGCUGGUCUGAGAGGAUGACCAGUCACACUGGAACGGAGACACGGUCCAGACUCCUACGGUAGGCAGCAGUGGGGAAUAUUGGACAAUGGGCGAAAGCCUGAUACAGCCAUGCCGCGUGUGUGAAGAAGGUCUUCGGAUUGUAAAGCACUGUAAGUUGGGAGGCGUUACCAACAGAAUAAGCACCUGCUAACUUCGUGCCAGCAGCCGCGGUAAUAC
rnacentral:rRNA from 1 species